rnacentral:rRNA from 1 species
UACGAAGGGGGCUAGCGUUGCUCGGAAUCACUGGGCGUAAAGCGCACGUAGGCGGACUCUUAAGUCAGGGGUGAAAUCCUGGGGCUCAACUCCAGAACUGCCUUUGAUACUGGGAGUCUUGAGUUCAGGAGAGGUGAGUGGAACUGCGAGUGUAGAGGUGAAAUUCGUAGAUAUUCGGAAGAACACCAGUGGCGAAGGCGACUCACUGGCCCGAUACUGACGCUGAGGCGCGAAAGCGUGGGGAGCAAACAGG